GCGGACGUGGCGAAAUUGGUAGACGCACUGUCUUCAGGCGGCAGCGCCUUCACGGGCAUGAAAGUUCGAAUCUUUUCGUCCGCA
rnacentral:tRNA from 2 species